UCUCUUUCUUUCUCUCUCUUUCUCUCUCUCUCUCUCUCUCUCUCUCUCUCUCUCUCUAUCACUAUAUCCAUUUGUCUCUUUCUAUUUUAUUUCUUCAAUACGCUUUAGCUAUAAAUCGUACAAUUUCAGAUAUAUUCGAAAACGAUACGAAUUCGAAUGUUCGUCCAAUUUUUUUUUUACUUUUGAUCAUCGGAUUCGUUUCUAUUCUCAUCAAAACCCUUCACCCUUUUCUCGUCGUUCUCUAAUACGGGGAUUUUCUUUUUCUUUCUUUUCUUUUUUUUUCUUUUUUUCUUUCUUUCUUUCUUUCUUUCUUCAAAUCGAUCUCCCUUGGCAAAGAUGGCUUUCUCUCGUCUUUCAGUCUUUCUUCGAGACGACGAGUACAACGGAUACGACUUAGGGUACGUCACUGAUACGCGUAUGCACAUCAAACAUACCAAAGGCCUACCCAAUCCGAUCCGCGGGUGAAAGCUUUUCAAUGUGGAAAGCGAAUGUUUGCAGUCAAAGACGAGCUUUCUUCGGGAAAAGAAAAUUCGACUUCACGUGUAGCUAGGUAGGCAGGUAUGUAGAUAUAUUGUACGCGAAGUGACAGGAGUCCCAGAUUUCCAACUUUGAAAGUUUGCAAAUCCGCGAACAAGGAAAAUGGCAAACGAGUCGUGAGACGAUGGGUUUACUGUUAGAUAUUUAUUUUUCUUUAUUAUUAACUUUUCGUUUUUAUAUUUACUUUCGAUCGUACGCUACUCUCGGAUGGAUUUUAUUAUUUACGUUGGCCAAGUACAUAGGAUACAAAUAAACAGACAAUAUUUUAAUAACAUUAGAUACUAAAGAGAUUCAAUAUUGUGAACAUAAAUAGAGGAAGGCCGCUUCUAAAGGAGAUAUAUAACUUGAAGAUGUAAACACGAUGUUUGGUAACUACAGAGACGAGCGUUUGAGAUAAUCCUAGGUCAAAGACUUUAAAUACAGAUCAGUCGACCGGCGAUAUUCGAGGAGGCACGUUGUCAAAGAACGCUCGUGGGAACUUGCUGAUCUUUAUGUAUUUAAAUUACGUUACUGAUACAAAGAUAUCACGUAACUUCUAUCGUUCUAUCAUCAUUAGUAGUUACAGUUUGGAUCGUAUUAUUAGAGUGUCAAAUAUAAUAUUUGUCUCGUUGGUUUAAUAUUAAGGGACACAACAUUGGGACUGCGGUUUUUGACUAAUGAAAAUAAAGGAUCGUCAUGACUCUUACCAGUUCUCGUUUAAUUGUUAACGCCUAUAGAAGAGUUUGACUGUUUCGGUACGUGCAUUAUUCACACAGCAAAAUGAGGGUGCCGUACAGAGGGAAAGCUUACUGUCGCUUAGCAUGUGAGAGAUCCCAGCUACCGUCGACUGCACGUAUCGUGACUGAGUUACGAAUACGUGAGAGAGACUGCUUAAAGUAUGUGUUUUGUGGGGAGCAUUUAACUACCGCGAGAGCUCAAGUCAAUAUUUAUUAAAUGCGCUGUCUGUGUAGGCGUGCGCCCGCACCCAUUGCACUCCCUCUUUGUUAGCGUGCGUUCCUAAUCAAAUUCCAUGCAUUCCACAGGGUGGCCAAAGUGAACUUCUAGCAUCUAGACGAAGUCAAAGUCAUCUGGAAGGCUCCUUCGAGCCUACGAAGAGAUCGUUUAGUUCGAAAAUGUGCGCAUAAUUUCAUUAGUGCUUUUAAUACGCUAAAAUGAGAAGAAAAAAGUUCAUAGAAACACGUAAAUGAUAUGACCUUUUUUUCGUUCCCGAGAGAGACACAUGAUACAAGUCAACUGAUUUAGAAACAUUUACAUCGUAAUGUGUUUAUAAGGUUGUACAUGAUGUAUCAGUAAUUAUUUAUAAACAGUUAAAGAAAGAGAUCUGUUUAUGAAAAAGUUUAUCGAAAGACAUUAUUCAGUUGCAUCUCAAAAACAAGAUCACAUCUGGCGUAUAUUUAGAUGAACUUUUUUUUCCCUUAUUUUUAAUGCGUCGUAUCCAUCGGUGAAGUUAUAUCCAGAUCUAAAACAUUCUAUAUGUAUCUUCUAUUGUAUCUAAACAAAGUUUAUUGUUUUUAAAUAAAGGUUAUUAAAAAGGUAUUAAUUUAGUAAAGUAGAAUGAUAAGAUAAAUUCCAUUAAUAAAAUUCUCUUUGUUGGAAUGUACGUUCAAUCAUUUGUAUAACAUUCGCUCGUUAAUUUUUUUGCGAAUAAUAAAUCGCCAAUGAAAUGUUUAAUUUCGAUACAAUGACCCUAUCGAUAUUUUCGAAUUCCGUUCUGUUAUUCAGUAAAAAAGAAGGGGGAAAAAAAAAGAAAAAGAGAGAACAAAAAGAAAAGAUAAAAAUAAAAAUAACGCAAAAUACAGACUUCAGUUAUAGAAUAAAAGCCCUAUAGACAUUUUUAACAUGGCACAUAUAAUUUUUGUGACGUAAGAAGCAUUUAUCUCUUUAUCAUCUAAUCGAAUAAACAUAUGGAUCGAUCAUUUGAAUAUAACUACGUCUAUAGCUAUUUAUGUAUCAAUUUUAUUUUACUUUUUAGUCCCAAUAACGUACUCUAUUUUUUUCAAAUAUUGAGUUCAACUAUAUAAA